CGAAGCAUUUCGGACCAACGAGCCUUGUAGCGACAUCUUGUGGUUUCUGACGAUAUAACAUUGUUUUUAUAUUUUACCCGCAGGAAAUCACAGAUGGCGCUGCAGGGUUAUCGAUGGGCCCGAAUAUUUUUAAUUAUUUUAUUUUCUUCAAAAUUUGGUAUAUUAAAAUUAUCUGCAACAUUUAUUUUUGAUAUAUUAUAAUUAUAUUGUUUAAAUUUUGGGAUCAAACAAGUCGAUCGAUUGUUGUCGUUGAUUCGGCGAAUUUAUGGUUUGGUAGAUUUUUUCUAGUUUGGCAACUUUGUUCGUGGUUCUUGUGUCAGACUGACAGCUGGCUGAGGAGAGACAGGUUAUGGAAAGUGGGGACGUCGCGAGAGCGCCGGAGACUCCACUGCCGUAACAAUAAUGUGGGCAAAUUAAAAGCCACGAUUUAUCGGCGACAUCAAGAGCCGAUGUCUCGAUUUAAAUAAACAGCUUAACCGAGAUGGUGAGUCCUCGCAAUUCUUCGUGCAUAUUUUUGCACCAACUUUGUGAUAACCUCGAGGUCCUUGUUUUCAGCAACAUCACUGAAAUCCCAUCGCCAAAGGUCCAGUGGGUGGGUUUAGGUUUCAUCCGAGCGAUGCCCAACUAUCCCGGAUGAACCUAUGGGGUUUUCUUUAAAGUUUAAACGUUUUAAAGUUUUUGUUUUCUUUAAGUUUUAACGUUUUAAAGUUUUAACGUUUUGCAAGUUUUUAACGUCUAACGUUUUGCUAGUUUAAAGUAAGAAGAAAUUUAUGAUUGGAUCAGAUGAUUUCAACAAUGGUUUUGUGAAUGAGGAUUCCUACUGUUUUCUUCUGCGUUUGCAAGUUAUUUCAAGCUUCAUUACGGCGGAGCUUGCCUUGGUUGUUUGCACGUCGAAGCUUUCCUUUGUGCGGCGCGCAUGUGGAUGUGCCGCGCCUCUCCUUUUGUCAACACACCGGAUAAGGCCCGGUGGAGGACUGCGAGGUUGACCGGUGGACGUGCAGCCCGCCAGCUGCGUAACAGUUGGCCCGCUGCGCCGCCAUCGUCCAGCACGCCCUGGCCUGAGCCGGCCUCUACUCAUCACCUGUACGGUAUUCCGGAACGCCUCAGGUAGGCCUGAUAGUCGGAGGUCCUCGAGUAAGUGAGGUGCCUACAGGUGUACGGACAGUGUUUUUAAAUAUAGUGAUAUCCCAUGGUUGUUACGGAGUGACAAUUAACCUGACGGACCAAAGCGCGACCUGUCUCCCUCCAUAGGGUUUUUGACCUACCUAUGGUUAAUGAAAUUUGUAGAUUUAAAAAAUAUACAUUGUACAAAUUCAA